GGGGGUGACUGGCUUCGACGGGUGUCGGUCGGUCCCGGGAGAGCGAGCCGAGUAUCCCGGUCAACUCGCAAAUCUGUCCGGGAACCUUAUAGGUGCCGAAGACAACUUCGCACUGGCGGCCUAACUAGGCUUCCCGUCCGCCCUCGCCACCGCCUGAGGUGAGGGGUCGGGCGUCGCAAUCAGGCUCCACCCGCCGGCCAUCGCCACCCUGCCGGCGCGGGACACCUGCGUGGCGUACGGCUGCCGGGCGCCUGGUCCCGAGGCGCGGCAGCCCGACAAACCAUCGGGACCUACGCUCGUAGCGCUUCCGGAAUCGAGGCACUCGGACCCGGGUUCGAAUCCCGGCACCUCCACUC
rnacentral:tmRNA from 1 species